rnacentral:rRNA from 1 species
ACGGGGGUUGCGAGCGUUGUCCGGAAUUACUAGGCGUAAAGGGCAGGCAGGCGGAUUUAUAAGUUUUCUGUUUAAGGCAACGGCUCACCCGUUGUAAGGCAGGAGAUACUGUAGAUCUGGAAUGCGGUUGGGGAAGACAGAAUUCCUGGUGUAGCGGUGAAAUGCGCAGAGAUCAGGAGGAAUACCUAAGGCGAAGGCAGUCUACCAAGCCGUAAUUGACGCUGAACUGCGAAGGUGUGGGUAUCAAACAG